CACUAUGAUGAUUAAAAUGGAUGCGUGAACAAUCUCUGAACGUGAGUAUCGAACGAUAUUCACAUGGAUUACAAAACCCUGCCUUCCUACUGACA
rnacentral:snoRNA from 1 species